rnacentral:rRNA from 1 species
GAGUAGGGCGGGACACGUGGUAUCCUGUCUGAAUAUGGGGGGACCAUCCUCCAAGGCUAAAUACUCCUGACUGACCGAUAGUGAACCAGUACCGUGAGGGAAAGGCGAAAAGAACCCCGGCGAGGGGAGUGAAAAAGAACCUGAAACCGUGUACGUACAAGCAGUGGGAGCACAGGUUUACCUGUGUGACUGCGUACCUUUUGUAUAAUGGGUCAGCGACUUAUAUUCUGUAGCAAGGUUAACCGUAUAGGGGAGCCGGAGGGAAACCGAGUCUUAACCGGGCGUUAAGUUGCAGGGUAUAGACCCGAAACCCGGUGAUCUAGCCAUGGGCAGGUUGAAGGUUGGGUAACACUAACUGGAGGACCGAACCGACUAAUGUUGAAAAAUUAGCGGAUGACCUGUGGCUGGGGGUGAAAGGCCAAUCAAACCGGGAGAUAGCUGGUUCUCCCCGAAAGCUAUUUAGGUAGCGCCUCGUGAAUUCAUCUCCGGGGGUAGAGCACUGUUUCGGCUAGGGGGCCAUCCCGGCUUACCAACCCGAUGCAAACUGCGAAUACCGGAGAAUGUUAUCACGGGAGACACACGGCGGGUGCUAACGUCCGUCGUGAAGAGGGAAACAACCCAGACCGCCAGCUAAGGUCCCAAAGUCAUGGUUAAGUGGGAAACGAUGUGGGAAGGCCCAGACAGCCAGGAUGUUGGCUUAGAAGCAGCCAUCAUUUAAAGAAAGCGUAAUAGCUCACUGGUCGAGUCGGCCUGCGCGGAAGAUGUAACGGGGCUAAACCAUGCACCGAAGCUGCGGCAGCGACACUCAGGUGUUGUUGGGUAGGGGAGCGUUCUGUAAGCCUGUGAAGGUGGCCUGUGAGGGUUGCUGGAGGUAUCAGAAGUGCGAAUGCUGACAUAAGUAACGAUAAAGCGGGUGAAAAGCCCGCUCGCCGGAAGACCAAGGGUUCCUGUCCAACGUUAAUCGGGGCAGGGUGAGUCGACCCCUAAGGCGAGGCCGAAAGGCGUAGUCGAUGGGAAACGGGUUAAUAUUCCCGUACU